rfam:Medicago truncatula strain A17 chromosome 3, whole genome shotgun sequence.
CCAAUAAGUAAUAAAAGGUCCGUUUAGAUCCCAAAACUUUAUUUAAAGUAUCAGUUUGAUCCUUUCGGUUAAUUUAAUUCAAAAAAACAUUAAAUUUAAAUACUAAUUAAAUAAGUUAAGGGAUCAAACUAAUGUUAAUUAAAUAAGAUAAGGGACCAAAAUUUAACUUUUUUCUAAUUAAAUCAACAGAAAUGAUCAAACCGAUACUUUCAAUAAAGUUAAGGGACCAAAACAGACAUUUUAUUAAUUGUGGGA